CUUGCAAAUGAUGACGUGUUAUGGCGAUGAUUUGUAAAUUGGCACACGAGAACACUUGGCGGCGCGUGAGGGGCAUCAAAGACCAAGGCGGGGAGGCGCCGCUCCCUGCCGGGCCGCGGCGGGGAGGAGACACGACAAGACAAUCUUCGUUCAGUCUGAGAUGAGAAGGCAGGAGACUAUCUGUCUGUCCCCACACCUGCCCUGGCAAGGACAGCUCAUUGACAGCAAGGGGCGGCUGUAUGUCGGCUCGACGUGCACACGGACAGGCGACAGGCGAGGAUGAGGCGACCACCACUACCACCACCACCGACAUGAGCGGAUGUAGCAGUAGUGAAGCACUCUACCUGCUCCAGUUUUCCAUGGUGUUGGCUUGGGCCUGUUCGCGGUGACCUGACGUUAGGGUCGGAGCAGAGUGUCACCGGAAGCCCUCCAUAUCCUCCACGUCAGCGGCCCCC